rnacentral:rRNA from 1 species
UACGUAGGGGGCAAGCGUUGUCCGGAUUAUUGGGCGUAAAGCGCGUGUAGGUGGCCAUGUAGGUCCGCUGUGAAAACUUGAGGCUCAACCUCAAGCUGUCGGUGGAAACCACAUGGCUAGAGUCCGGAAGAGGAGAGUGGAAUUCCUGGUGUAGCGGUGAAAUGCGCAGAUAUCAGGAGAACACCAAUGGCGAAGGCAGC